AAGAAGGUACAGGAGAAGAGGGAGGAGAAGCAGCCAUGGCUUAAGGGUCAAGACAGCAUAGUCCUGAGGGCUGCCCAAUUGGAGUUAAGAGCAGCCCAGAUGGAACACAGUAAAUAAAAACCAAGAUCAUCAGAACCAUGACUUCUAUCAAAGUUUUCCUAGAAGACUCAACCCUUUUCUGGAGCUUUCUGAAUUCUUUGUGGACCUAUACUUGGUCUUAGGAAAAGAAAGGACGAUCUCCACAGAAAUGUCUUUGGGAAUAUCGCCUCCCCUUCCUCUCAUGCUGACUAUGUGAUGAUCUGCUGGAGCAGGAACUGCUGGAUUUGACUCCGUGUGAACUUUCUGAGAUUUCAAUACAUACCACCAAAUUGCUUUACAGAACAGUUGCCAGCAUCUCAUUUCUACUGCCUGGAAGAAUGUCCUCCCUGAACCCAUCCCAACACAGCACUGGGGUUUCUUGUUUUUUAUCUUUCCUGAAUUGAAAUUGGCCACAUGAUAUAUUUGUUUUUGAUAUAUUAGUACCAUGAAUAAGCACAGACCUGAGCCAAGAGGCAACAUGUAUUAAAUCCUGUGUGUUGUUCAGCUAAAGGUUCCAAGGUGACCCUGUGCUCCCUAUUUCCAAGAUGUGCCUUACAAUGUCUUGGAACAAGAUAGAGUAAAAAUGAAUACAUUGUCCAAGUUCUUGAUGAAUACAGCAGGGGCAACGGAUUCAUCCAUGUGCAAUAAAAACCAUGAAAAACUGUAGAGGGAAGUGGGAAACUUUCUGGAGAAAAAAAUAAAAAUAUUUU